GAUGAACGCUGGCGGCGUGCCUAAUACAUGCAAGUCGAGCGAACGGACGAGAAGCUUGCUUCUCUGAUGUUAGCGGCGGACGGGUGAGUAACACGUGGAUAACCUACCUAUAAGACUGGGAUAACUUCGGGAAACCGGAGCUAAUACCGGAUAAUAUUUUGAACCGCAUGGUUCAAAAGUGAAAGACGGUCUUGCUGUCACUUAUAGAUGGAUCCGCGCUGCAUUAGCUAGUUGGUAAGGUAACGGCUUACCAAGGCAACGAUGCAUAGCCGACCUGAGAGGGUGAUCGGCCACACUGGAACUGAGACACGGUCCAGACUCCUACGGGAGGCAGCAGUAGGGAAUCUUCCGCAAAGGGCGAAAGCCUGACGGAGCAACGCCACGUGAGUGAUGAAGGUCUUCGGAUCGUAAAACUCUGUUAUUAGGGAAGAACAUAUGUGUAAGUAACUGUGCACAUCUUGACGGUACCUAAUCAGAAAGCCACGGCUAACUACGUG
rnacentral:rRNA from 1 species